ensembl:lncRNA
UAGUCACAUGAAGGAGCACAUGGGCAUCUGGAUAAAAGGAGAAGUGAAACGUUUCCUGGCUUCACCACCCACCUCACACAAACUCUGUAAUUCUCUAAAACACAGUAGUUCUGUCUCAGCUGUCAACACUGCCAUAAGACGGCUUCUUCGUAACGAUGAGACACGUGACAGCGGCACUGUGUGACGCUCCUGGAUGAGAAUGCAUUUUUUCGGUAUUCGCAGUUGCAGCUUGGCACAUGAAAGAUGGCCCAUCACCUAAAGAAAAGCGGAAAAAAGAAGCGCUCUCUCAGCCCGCUGGCUUUCCUCUGCAGCAGCUGUCGGUCAGCGUCAGUUGGUGUAUCUCGGAAACACAGAUCGCUAAUGAGGCUGGAGCUCUCGAGGACUGCCUGGCCCUGAACUCAGCAUCACACGGUGCUAAGUGACGAGGAUCCCCUGCUGCACCCAGGGAGGGUUAUGCAUCUAAAACGUGAAUAUUAUAUACGUCACGUCGAAUCAGGAGACGGGUGCUCUCAUCUGCAGCUUGAGCUGUCUGGCUUUGAGAUCUCGCUGUGCUCGGGGUGGUCCUGCAAACUCAGGAAAGUCCAGGUACGAUUUGAUUAAUGUGGGUUUUGGCUCGUCUGGACAGAAACAUCAGCAAGGACACUGUGGACGUAAAAUGCUUCUGCUGCUGCUGCUGUGAUGGUGGUGUUGCAGACCCCCCAUGCAGGCCAGAUCUUUCUGCAGCUUCUGCACCGACACAUGAUCUGACUAGGAAGGAUGCAAAGGUGGAAGCAGACCGUGCUGGAUUUAGUUUCACAGCAUCUUACUGGAGCAAACGCACACAACAUACUGCAAGGUUUUCAGUAGUAUCUACUUCCCCCUUUUUUUUUCUUUUUUUUGUUUGAGAGGACACGGAUACACCCUGACUGGGCCCCUGUAGUGCUCUACAUUGUGGUUGGGAAGUACCUAGUUUUACAACUGUCAUGCUGGCCUGCUUAAAGGGACAGUGCUGAUCAAUUCGAAGCACAUAUUCAGGGGUCUUUUAGUCACCCUAACAAGGGGGUCACAUGGAUGUUUGAGUCGUCAUUCCUCAUGUGAGGAAUGUGCAGUCCGAAGAGCCGCUUUCUGCAUCAAGCACUGCAUAAAAAUACUGAUUGAUAUUUGUUAAAAGAAUGUCUUUAAUAAAAAGUUGAAUUGAAUUGGGUGUGAGAGUUUCCUGCUUUUGAAAAACGAAAGAGAGAAGACUCACAACUCUACAGGUUCUUUUUAGUCUGAAUGCAUAGUGGAUUUGUUUU